AUGAGGGCUUCCACUCAGCUCUUUGGAUUGCUGAUGUUCUGUCUUACAGGAGGCAAAUGUGACAUCCAGAUGACCCAGUCUUCACCCUCCCUGUUGGCAUCUCUGGGAGAAAGUGUCACCAUGACAUGCCUGGCAAGUCAGGACAUUGGUGCUUGGUUAGCAUGGUAUCAGAAAAAGCCUGGGAAUCCUCCUAGGCUACUGAUCCAUAGUGCAAGCAGCUUGGCAGAUGGGGUCCCUUUGAGGUUCAGUGGCAGUGGAUCUGGCACACAGUAUUCUCUAAAGAUCAGCAGCCUGCAGCCUGAAGAUGUGGCAACUUAUUACUGUCAGCAGGGUAACAGUUACCCUCCCACAGUGAUUCAAGCCAUGACAUAA